AGAGUUUGAUCAUGGCUCAGAUUGAACGCUGGCGGCAUGCCUUACACAUGCAAGUCGAACGGCAGCACGGGGGCAACCCUGGUGGCGAGUGGCGAACGGGUGAGUAAUACAUCGGAACGUGUCCUGUAGUGGGGGAUAGCCCGGCGAAAGCCGGAUUAAUACCGUAUACGCUCUACGGAGGAAAGGGGGGGAUCUUCGGACCUCUCGCUACAGGGGCGGCCGAUGGCAGAUUAGCUAGUUGGUGGGGUAAAGGCCUACCAAGGCGACGAUCUGUAGCUGGUCUGAGAGGACGACCAGCCACACUGGGACUGAGACACGGCCCAGACUCCUACGGGAGGCAGCAGUGGGGAAUUUUGGACAAUGGGCGCAAGCCUGAUCCAGCAAUGCCGCGUGUGUGAAGAAGGCCUUCGGGUUGUAAAGCACUUUUGUCCGGAAAGAAAACGUCGUGGUUAAUACCCGUGGCGGAUGACGGUACCGGAAGAAUAAGCACCGGCUAACUACGUGCCAGCAGCCGCGGUAAUACGUAGGGUGCAAGCGUUAAUCGGAAUUACUGGGCGUAAAGCGUGCGCAGGCGGUCCGCUAAGACAGAUGUGAAAUCCCCGGGCUUAACCUGGGAACUGCAUUUGUGACUGGCGGGCUAGAGUAUGGCAGAGGGGGGUAGAAUUCCACGUAGCAGUGAAAUGCGUAGAGAUGUGGAGGAAUACCGAUGGCGAAGGCAGCCCCCUGGGCCAAUACUGACGCUCAUGCACGAAAGCGUGGGGAGCAAACAGGAUUAGAUACCCUUGUAGUCC
rnacentral:rRNA from 1 species